CCUACGGGAGGCAGCAGUGGGGAAUAUUGGACAAUGGGCGAAAGCCUGAUCCAGCCAUGCCGCGUGUGUGAAGAAGGCCUUCGGGUUGUAAAGCACUUUCAGUGGGGAAGAAAGCCUUGGGGCUAAUACCCUCGAGGAAGGACAUCACCCACAGAAGAAGCACCGGCUAACUCCGUGCCAGCAGCCGCGGUAAUACGGCGGGUGCGAGCGUUAAUCGGAAUUACUGGGCGUAAAGCGCGCGUAGGCGGUCUGAUAAGCCGGUUGUGAAAGCCCCGGGCUCAACCUGGGAACGGCAUCCGGAACUGUCAGGCUAGAGUGCAGGAGAGGAAGGUAGAAUUCCCGGUGUAGCGGUGAAAUGCGUAGAGAUCGGGAGGAAUACCAGUGGCGAAGGCGGCCUUCUGGACUGACACUGACGCUGAGGUGCGAAAGCGUGGGUAGCAAACAGGAUUAGAUACCCUUGUAGUC
rnacentral:rRNA from 1 species